GGCUCCGUGGCUUAGAUGGCUAAAGCUCCUGUCUAAUAAACAGGAGAUGCUGGGUUCGAAUCCCAGUGGGGCCU